rnacentral:rRNA from 1 species
UACGAAGGGGGCUAGCGUUGCUCGGAUUGACUGGGCGUAAAGGGCGCGUAGGCGGUUCGUACAGUCAGACGUGAAAUUCCUGGGCUCAACCUGGGGGCUGCGUUUGAUACGUGCGGACUUGAGUGCGGAAGAGGGUCGUGGAAUUCCCAGUGUAGAGGUGAAAUGCGUAGAUAUCGGGAGGAACACCAGUGGCGAAGGCGACUUCCUGGCCUGUUCUUGACGCUGAGGCGCGAAAGCUAGGGGAGCAAACGGG